AGGCGCGCUACUGGGCCGAAACUGACACUCAUGGACGAAAGCUAGGGGAGCGAAAGGGAUUAGAUACCCCUGUAGUCCUAGCUGUAAACGAUGACAACUAGGUGUUGCGCGUAUCGACCCGUGCAGUGCCGUAGCUAACGCGUUAAGUUGUCCGCCUGGGGAGUACGCACGCAAGUGUGAAACUCAAAGGAAUUGACGGGGGCCCGCACAAGCGGUGGAGUAUGUGGUUUAAUUCGAUGCAACGCGAAGAACCUUACCAGGGCUUGACAUGUCGCGAAUCCCGGUGAAAGUCGGGAGUGCCUUCGGGAGCGCGAACACAGGUGGUGCAUGGCUGUCGUCAGCUCGUGUCGUGAGAUGUUGGGUUAAGUCCCGCAACGAGCGCAACCCUCGUUUCUAGUUGCCAUCAUUAAGUUGGGCACUUUAGAGAGACUGCCGGUGACAAACCGGAGGAAGGUGGGGAUGACGUCAAGUCAGCAUGCCCCUUACGCCCUGGGCUACACACGUACUACAAUGCUAUGGACAAAGAGUUGCAAGCCAGCGAUGGCAAGCUAAUCUCAUAAACCAUGGCUCAGUUCAGAUUGCAGGCUGCAACUCGCCCUGCAUGAAGGAGGAAUCGCUAGUAAUCGCAGGUCAGCAUACUGCGGUGAAUACGUUCCCGGGCCUUGUACACACCGCCCGUCACACCAUGGGAGUUGGCCACGCCCGAAGUCGUUGCUCCAACCGAAAGGAGGGGGAUGCCGAAGGCAGGGCUGAUGACUGGGGUGAAGUCGUAACAAGGUAGCCGUACCGGAAGGUGUGGCUGGAUCACCUCCUUUAAGGGAGACCUCCCGCUAGACCAAGCUUUUGAUAGCAGGGUUUAGACGGUCAACCUAAGGUCGGUCGAGGUCUAUGUAUUGAAUGGCUUUCAAACUAUCUAGGUAAGGGAUAUGGGCUAUUAGCUCAGGUGGUUAGAGCGCACCCCUGAUAAGGGUGAGGUCCCUGGUUCGAGUCCAGGAUGGCCCACCAUCUUGUUGGGGGGUUUAGCUCAGUUGGUAGAGCGCCUGCUUUGCAAGCAGGAUGUCAACGGUUCGAGUCCGUUAACCUCCACUCCAAUUCAGCAUCUUAUUUCAAGAGUGUUUAUACCUAAGGGUAUUUAUUCUUAUUGAGAGAGCCUGCUGGAUUAAGGUCCAGUUAGAACCUUGAAAACUGCAUAGUAACUUGUCAGGUAGGAACAAUAGGUAGCGAUUUGUUUUUGAUGAAUAUAUCAAAAGCUCUGACACUAGAUAUUGAUUCACAGACACCAAUGUGUAACUUAAGAAAGUUAAAGAUAGUGGUCAAGCUAAUAAGGGCUCAUGGUGGAUACCUAGGCACACAGAGA
rnacentral:sRNA from 1 species